rnacentral:pre_miRNA from 1 species
AUCAUACUCCCUCCGUCCCAAAAUUCUCAUCUUAGAUUUGUCUAGAUACGGAUGUACCUAAUACUAAAACGUGACUUGAUACAUUCGUAUUUGGACAAAUCUAAGACAAGCUUUUUGAGACGGAGGGAGUACAAA